rnacentral:rRNA from 1 species
AUUGAACGCUGGCGGCAUGCCUUACACAUGCAAGUCGAACGCGAAAGGGGGGCAACCCCCGAGUAGAGUGGCGGACGGGUGAGUAAUACAUCGGAACGUACCCAGUAGUGGGGGACAACCUCGAGAGAUCGAGGCUAAUACCGCAUACGACCCACGGGUGAAAGCGGGGGACCGCAAGGCCUCGCGCUAUUGGCGCGGCCGAUGUCCGAUUAGCUAGUUGGUGGGGUAAGAGCCCACCAAGGCGACGAUCGGUAGCUGGUCUGAGAGGACGACCAGCCACACUGGGACUGAGACACGGCCCAGACUCCUACGGGAGGCAGCAGUGGGGAAUUUUGGACAAUGGGGGCAACCCUGAUCCAGCCAUGCCGCGUGCGGGAAGAAGGCCUUCGGGUUGUAAACCGCUUUCGGCCGGAACGAAAUCGCCGGGGAGAACAUCCCCGGUGGAUGACGGUACCGGAAGAAGAAGCACCGGCUAACUACGUGCCAGCAGCCGCCGUAAGAC